rnacentral:lncRNA from 1 species
ACAAAUUUAGGAGUUGUCUACAUUUCAAUUUCACUUGGCCAAAAUAAAUUGACGUAAAAACCAGAUUUGUCAAUCUUAGUGUGGGGGCAAGAAAAAUAUAAACUACGCAGAAUCUGUUCCAAGAAAGAACUAAACACAGCUUUCAACGUGAAAAAUAUAAAUACUACACAUUGGAAGGAUGAUCCAGUCAUAACUGCAACUGUGCAUUGAUUCACAAAUAAGCAUAUAAAUGGCAAAAUUCUAAAACAUUUAUUACAUAGUAUAUGUCAACAUACCCCUACCAGACAAGAUGCCAACCAUAAUACACACAUUGAGGGUGUUCUCUAGCUUUUGGGUUAUGUCACUUUAUCUGUGCUGUUGCCCGAAUCCUCAUUGGCAGUGCGAAUAGCUUUGGAAUCAGCACAAGGAGUCAACGGCGGAAAAGAAGGAA